UGCAGUCGAACGGUAACAGGAAUUAGCUUGCUAAUUUGCUGACGAGUGGCGCACGGGUGCGUAACGCGUAUACAAUCUACCUUUUACAGAGAGAUAGCCCAGAGAAAUUUGGAUUAAUACCUCAUAGUAUUAUUUGAUGGCAUCAUUAGAUAAUUAAAGUUUCGGCGGUAAAAGAUGAGUAUGCGUUCUAUUAGCUAGAUGGUGUGGUAACGGCACACCAUGGCAACGAUAGAUAGGGGCCCUGAGAGGGGGAUCCCCCACACUGGUACUGAGACACGGACCAGACUCCUACGGGAGGCAGCAGUGAGGAAUAUUGGACAAUGGAGGCAACUCUGAUCCAGCCAUGCCGCGUGCAGGAAGACUGCCCUAUGGGUUGUAAACUGCUUUUAUACAGGAAGAAACACUCCCUCGUGAGGGAGCUUGACGGUACUGUAAGAAUAAGGAUCGGCUAACUCCGUGCCAGCAGCCGCGGUAAUACGGAGGAUCCAAGCGUUAUCCGGAAUCAUUGGGUUUAAAGGGUCCGUAGGUGGAUAAUUAAGUCAGAGGUGAAAUCCUGCAGCUCAACUGUAGAAUUGCCUUUGAUACUGGUUAUCUUGAGUUAUUAUGAAGUA
rnacentral:rRNA from 1 species